AACGCAAAUUGCGCUCGAGGCUUCGGCCGAGAGCAUGCCUGCCUCAGUGUCGGUUUCACCCUCGCUCCCCCCUCCUAUUGGUUGGGUAGAGCGGAGCUGGCCGUCUCGGUCUGUAGACCGGGUCAGCUGAAGCGCAGAGGCAUGAGCGGUAUCCCCCUUGACGUGGGAACAACAGACCGGUAGGUGAGCCCUUCCAUCGGAAGGAUCGCAUGCCGCUGCUGGACCCCGGGACCCGCUGGACGCCCAGCAGGAGACGGUGUUUGUGGCUCGACCGCCUCGACACCGCAGUCAAACCAUUCGACCUGAGUUCAGGCAAGGGCACCCGCUGAACUUAA
rnacentral:misc_RNA from 2 species